GUGGGGAAUAUUGGACAAUGGGCGCAAGCCUGAUCCAGCCAUGCCGCGUGGGUGAAGAAGGCCCUAGGGUUGUAAACCCCUUUCAGCGGGGAAGAUAAUGACGGUACCCGCAGAAGAAGCCCCGGCUAACUCCGUGCCAGCAGCCGCGGUAAUACGGAGGGGGCUAGCGUUGUUCGGAAUUACUGGGCGUAAAGCGCGCGUAGGCGGACCUGCAAGUCGGGGGUGAAAGCCCGAGGCUCAACCUCGGAACUGCCUUCGAUACUGCGGGUCUCGAGUCCGGGAGAGGUGAGUGGAAUUCCUAGUGUAGAGGUGAAAUUCGUAGAUAUUAGGAAGAACACCAGUGGCGAAGGCGGCUCACUGGCCCGGUACUGACGCUGAGGCGCGAAAGCGUGGGGAGCAAACAGGAUUAGAUACCCUGGUAGUCCACGCCGUAAACUAUGGGUGCUAGCCGUCGGUCGGCAUGCCGGUCGGUGGCGCAGCCAACGCAUUAAGCACCCCGCCUGGGGAGUACGAUCGCAAGAU
rnacentral:rRNA from 1 species